UUUCCGUAGGUGAACCUGCGGAAGGAUCAUUAAAAAAUUGGACUCCAUUGGUGAGUUCAUUAAUAAUCCCUACCCUUUGUGAAUUUGUUUGUUUGAAUAAUUUUUUUUCCAAAAAAAAUUAUUGAAUGUCUUUCCUUGUUUUGGUGGAGCUUGUAAAGUGAAACCAGGCAGGGGAAUGGCAAACAAUAAUUAUUUUUGAAAAGACCUUUUUUUAAAAUUAAACUUUUUGUAUUCAUUUGUCUAAAAUUAAUUUUUAUAAUAUAAAAACAACUUUUGACAAUGGAUCUCUUGGUUCUCGCAACGAUGAAGAACGCAGCAAAAUGCGAUAAGUAGUGUGAAUUGCAGAAUACGUGAAUCAUCGAAUCUUCGAACGCAUAUUGCACUUUUUUAGUUUACUAAAAAAGUAUGUCUGUUUGAGUAUCAGUAAAAUAUUCUCAUAAAAAACAUUGUUUUUUUAUGGUUAUGAGUGUUUUACAACGAUAACAAGUUGUUUCACUUUAAAUUCUUUGUUAUCAAAAAAUCAUUAAAAGCUAAUUUUAAAGAUUUUUUAAAAUUGGAUAAAAUUUUCCCGUAAAAAGGAAUAACCUAAACAAUUUUAAAAAAUUAAAAUUGGUUUGAUUUUUUUUGAAACCCAAAGGAAAAAAAAACGAAAUUAACUUGAUCUCAAAUCAGAUAAGAGUACCCGCUGAACUUAAGCAUAUCAAUAAGCGGAGGAAAAGAAACUAACUAGGAUUCCCUCAGUAACGGCGAGUGAAGCGGGAAGAGCUCAAAUUUGAAAUCUUCAAGGUUUUACCUUGACGAAUUGUAGUUUAAAGAAGUGUUUUCUGUUGGAGUUUUGGUAAAAGUUCUUUGGAAAAGGACAUCAUAGAGGGUGAGAAUCCCGUAUUUGACCAUUAUCUCCAGCUUUGUGAUACACUUUCAAAGAGUCGGAUUGUUUGGGAAUGCAGUCCAAAAUGGGUGGUAAAUUUCAUCUAAAGCUAAAUACUGGCGAGAGACCGAUAGCGAACAAGUACCGUGAGGGAAAGAUGAAAAGAACUUUGAAAAGAGAGUUAAACAGUACGUGAAAUUGUCAAAAGGGAAGCGUUUGACACCAGUGUUGUUUUCUCGAAAAUCAAUUAAAAAAGGCCGGAUUUUGUGUUGUAUUGACUUUAACAGCUUUCUGCACUCUUUUCUUGUCUUUUUUAAUGCACUUUUCGUUUAACAAGUCAACAUCAAUUUCUUUUGUUGUAAAAGGGUCAUUGGAAGGUGGCUUUCUUUUCGGAGAAAGUGUUUAUAGCCUUUGGCCUCUGCAAUCGGAGAGAUUGAGGUCUGCAGCGUAGAUCCUUCGGGGUUAGAUACAUUUGUGCUAAGUUAUAGCCUUUCAUAGACAACUUGUUGACUAUGAUCAGUCAUGUAGCUUACUCGCUUAUGCUACUUUACCUACACUUAGGAUGUUGAG
rnacentral:misc_RNA from 1 species